CUAAUUUUGCAUUGUGAUGCCAUAAAAGGUUCAUUUAUACAUAAAACUUGUAGAUGCAAGGUAUUUGUAACCCGACUCAUUUAUACCAUAAAACUUGUAGAUGCAAGGUAUUUGUAACACAACUCACAUAGAUUAUGAAGUUAUAGACCAACACGGUUCCAUUCUCGUAACACCUGAAAAUUUAUCAUUUCCCUAUUCCUUUAUGUGGGCGAAAAGGGGGGGUGUCACAAACAGUGUUACUUUUUAUUGUC
rnacentral:lncRNA from 1 species